GAUGAACGCUAGCGGCAGGCUUAAUACAUGCAAGUCGAGGGGCAGCAGUUUUGUAGCAAUACAGAAGCUGGCGACCGGCAAACGGGUGCGGAACACGUACGCAACCCUCCUUUAACUGGAAGAUAGCCCACCGAAAGGUGGAUUAAUACUCCAUAACAUAUUGAAGAGGCAUCUUUUUGAUAUUAAAGCUCCGGCGGUUAAAGAUGGGCGUGCGUCUGAUUAGGUAGUUGGCGGGGUAACGGCCCACCAAGCCUUCGAUCAGUAGCUGAUGUGAGAGCAUGAUCAGCCACACGGGCACUGAGACACGGGCCCGACUCCUACGGGAGGCAGCAGUAAGGAAUAUUGGUCAAUGGACGCAAGUCUGAACCAGCCAUGCCGCGUGGAGGAUGAAGGCCCCCUGGGUUGUAAACUUCUUUUCUUUGGGACGAAACCCCUGUUUCUACGGGGACUGACGGUACCAGAGGAAUAAGCACCGGCUAACUCCGUGCCAGCCGCCGCGGUAACAC
rnacentral:rRNA from 1 species